rnacentral:rRNA from 1 species
UACGUAGGGUGCAAGCGUUAAUCGGAAUUACUGGGCGUAAAGCGUGCGCAGGCGGUUGUGCAAGACCGAUGUGAAAUCCCCCGGGCUUAACCUGGGAAUGGCAUUGGUGACUGCACGGCUAGAGUGUGUCAGAGGGGGGUAGAAUUCCACGUGUAGCAGUGAAAUGCGUAGAGAUGUGGAGGAAUACCGAUGGCGAAGGCAGCCCCCCUGGGAUAACACUGACGCUCAUGGCACGAAAGCGUGGGGAGCAAACAGG